rnacentral:rRNA from 1 species
CCUACGGGGCGCAGCAGUGAGGAAUAUUGGUCAAUGGGCGCGAGCCUGAACCAGCCAAGUAGCGUGAAGGAUGACUGCCCUACGGGUUGUAAACUUCUUUUAUAAAGGAAUAAAGUGAGGCACGUGUGCCUUUUUGUAUGUACUUUAUGAAUAAGGAUCGGCUAACUCCGUGCCAGCAGCCGCGGUAAUACGGGGGGUGCAAGCGUUGUCCGGAAUCAUUGGGCGUAAAGAGUUCGUAGGCGGCACGUAAAGUCUGGUGUUAAAGGCAGAGGCUCAACUUCUGUACGGCACUGGAUACUUGCGAG